rfam:Beta vulgaris subsp. vulgaris Bvchr5.sca014.con0043.1, whole genome shotgun sequence.
AAAAGAGAGAAGGAGCUCCCUUCAGGUCCAAUACCGAGGGCUGAGAAGUGCUAAAGAGCUGCCAUCUCAUGCAUAUUUGGCCAUUUACUUGCAUUCUUUUGAUUACUACAACUAAAACAAGAGAUGAUCAAGCUGAAGAAGUAAAAAUGCAAGUAAAAUAACCUAAAUGCAUGAGUUGGGAGCAACUCCUUUCACAUGCUUUGCCCGCUCAUUGGACUGAAGGGAGCUCCAUCAAACAUUCUU